UACAGAGGGUGCAAGCGUUAAUCGGAAUUACUGGGCGUAAAGCGCGCGUAGGUGGUUUGGUAAGUCGGAUGUGAAAUCCCCGGGCUUAACCUGGGAAUUGCAUUCGAUACUGCCUGACUCGAGUGUGGAAGAGGGAAGCGGAAUUUCCGGUGUAGCGGUGAAAUGCGUAGAUAUCGGAAGGAACACCAGUGGCGAAGGCGGCUUCCUGGUCCAACACUGACACUGAGGCGCGAAAGCGUGGGUAGCGAAC
rnacentral:rRNA from 1 species